rnacentral:rRNA from 1 species
CUGAACCAGCCAAGUAGCGUGAAGGAUGACUGCCCUAUGGGUUGUAAACUUCUUUUAUACGGGAAUAACAUCAUCCACGUGUGGGUGUCUGCAUGUACCGUAUGAAUAAGCAUCGGCUCACUCCGUGCCGGCAGCCGCGGUAAUACGGAAGAUGCGAGCGUUAUCCGGAUUUAUUGGGUUUAAAGGGAGCGUAGACGGGUCCUUAAGUCAGUUGUGAAAGUUUGCGG